CUACGGGCUGCACCAGUGGGAAAUAUUGCACAAUGGGCGCAAGCCUGAUGCAGCCAUGCCGCGUGUAUGAAGAAGGCCUUCGGGUUGUAAAGUACUUUCAGCGGGGAGGAAGGGAGUAAAGUUAAUACCUUUGCUCAUUGACGUUACCCGCAGAAGAAGCACCGGCUAACUCCGUGCCAGCAGCCGCGGUAAUACGGAGGUGCAAGCGUUAAUCGGAAUUACUGGGCGUAAAGCGCACGCAGGCGGUUUGUUAAGUCAGAUGUGAAAUCCCCGGGCUCAACCUGGGAACUGCAUCUGAUACUGGCAAGCUUGAGUCUCGUAGAGGGGGGUAGAAUUCCAGGUGUAGCGGUGAAAUGCGUAGAGAUCUGGAGGAAUACCGGUGGCGAAGGCGGCCCCCUGGACGAAGACUGACGCUCAGGUGCGAAAGCGUGGGGAGCAAACAGGAUUAGAUACCCCCGUAGUC
rnacentral:rRNA from 1 species